UACGAAGGGUGCAAGCGUUACUCGGAAUUACUGGGCGUAAAGCGUGCGUAGGUGGUUUGUUAAGUCUGAUGUGAAAGCCCUGGGCUCAACCUGGGAAUUGCAUUGGAUACUGGCAGGCUAGGAGUGCGGUAGAGGAUGGCGGAAUUCCCGGUGUAGCAGUGAAAUGCGUAGAGAUCGGGAGGAACAUCUGUGGCGAAGGCGGCCAUCUGGACCAGCACUGACACUGAGGCACGAAAGCGUGGGGAGCAAACAGG
rnacentral:rRNA from 1 species